AGACGAACCGUGCAAACGUUGUUCGGAAUCACUGGGCUUAAAGGGCGCGUAGGCGGCUCAUCAAGUCGGGGGUGAAAUACUUCAGCUUAACUGGAGAAGUGCCUUCGAUACUGGUGGGCUUGAGGGAGGUAGGGGUCUUUGGAACUUCUGGUGGAGCGGUGAAAUGCGUUGAUAUCAGAAGGAACGCCGGUGGCGAAAGCGAAGGACUGGACCUCUUCUGACGCUGAGGCGCGAAAGCUAGGGGAGCAAACG
rnacentral:rRNA from 1 species